rnacentral:misc_RNA from 1 species
UCGAAAUAUUCAAUGCUUCAAAGCAAAACAAAACUACACAAAAAAUAAAUGAAACUAUAGUAGGAAGCCAAGAUUGAAUUAGUGACUAAACUUAAUACAAUUAACAAAAUAAAAAUUUAGAAAAGUAAAUCAAAAGAUGCAAAUUAGAGUAGGAGGCCGAGGUUGCAUGUGGAGUUAAAGGCUUGAACAUAACCUUCAAUGGUUAGAAGAACACAGAGCCUUUUGAUUGAUAUAGCAAAAAGCUUGACAACUAGGGAACGCCAUAAAUGAAUGACAAACUUAGAAGAGAAGAGGUUGAGAUUAGAGAAGUGAAUCAAGUGACUGAAAUAAGUAAGAUUGGAGAAGGGUUGAAAGUUCUGCUCAAGCUAAGGCUAAUGGCGUGAAGUGGAAUGAAGGAAUUGAGAAAAGGGAGGAACCCAAGAAAGAGGAAGG